GGGACACCACGUGAAUAGAAUUGUGUUACAGUGACGUAUUUUCUCCCCCGCGAACCUGAAGAAGUUUCUUGACUGCAAAGGACUUCCCAGGAAUGCCAACGACAUUCCCAGAAAUAGCAGGAGUUUCCACGUUCUAAAUUUGAAGAUUAAAAAGCAGAAAUGAAGACAAAAUUAUCCCCAUCGCAUUUUCAUUUUAAUUGAGAUUCGAUCGCAGGAAAAUAUAAAGUUCUUAAAAUUUUCCAAAUUAGUAUUUUUGGGCAGCAGUGAUGGAGCUCCUGGGAAGUAAUGAAACAAAGAGAUGAUUAAAUGAUACACUGAGAUAAAAAAAUAUUGUUUUAGACAGUCGCACAGAAAUAUUUUUCAGGUAGAAAAGGAUUAUUUUUCAUUUUGAUGGUACGGUAUUUUAAUGCAAUAAAUUUAUCCAAAUGGCGAACAAUAAAUCGAAGCAAUGAAUUUGCAUUGAUUCAGGGAAUUAUUGUUUUGGUGCUUUUGGAAGAAAUAUUUCUCUGAUUUUCAAUCGUUAUUUCUCUCAAGUUCAUUUCAUUGUUUUGAUAUUCCCAGAAAACUUUAUAAAUGUUAUAAAAAAUAUAGACAUCCGGUCUGAGAGACCGAAGUGAUCUAUUAUCUUUUUAAUAAUUUUUCGUCAGUUCUCCCGAGAUAAAUAAUAAUAAAUGCUGUAAAUGGUAAUCCAAAUAAUUAAGUAUUAAUUAAUUUACUGGAAAAACAACACUUAUUUUCCUUCACUAGUAAUGUCUUACAACUACAUAGAAUACUGAUGAUUUGAUCAAAAAUAAAUGCAUUACAAUAAUGAUUAUACGAUAUAUGCGACUCUUUAAAUAUUUAUAAGUAGUCAACUUUCCCUGAUAAUUAAUCAAUCUUGAUGAAAAAAAUUAAAAAAUUAGUUUACGGAUCCAAUAAUACGUUUUCUCGACGUUUUGAUGGAACUUUGCAAUUUGUACAGACAAUUCUGUACGUUCCAUAAACUAAAACUAAAAACAAAUAAAUGGCACGUGGAGUACGUCAAAUAAUCAUCAAACAAAUCCGUCUUUGACACUACAUUUUAGUUCUAUGGUAAUAAAAAAAGUGGGCACUAGUAUUUAUUCAUAAUAAAUUAUGUUGUUUGUUGAUAAUUGAAAGACGAAAUCUAGUUUUUUUCAUAUUCAUCGAUUUUAGUUGAAAUCGAUAUAAUUUUUGUUUCGUCUAAUAGAAAUAUAUGCGGACAACAACAACAACAACAAUAGUAUUUUAUUGAUAUUUUGAUGUUCGUUGUUAAUUUGUUUCAGAACAAUAUUUCUAGCGCGUCUCUUAUUGAUGAAAAAAUACUAUUCUUGAACAGUAAUCGAGAGAGCAAUUGACCAAAAACUUACACAUAAAUCAAUUUAAAUGUACAUGUUCUCGGAAUAGAUGACAUGAUUCAAGGAAAAGACCAUUUGAUUAGGACAAGUCGAACACUUUCAUUUAAAAUUCGUUUAUCUUCGUGAAAAUAAUUAUAAAAGUCUUGAGACGUAAUCGAGGACAAAACUUAUACAAAAAAGAAUUUCACCUAGUUAUUCCCAGAAAAAAACAUAAAUUAAUGAAGAUGCGCUUUCAUUAGCACAAAUUUGAUGCUGUCAGCUGGGUUUUUGCGAAAAAAAUAUUGAAUUUUUGACAAACAAUUGAAUAAUCACUCGAAGUAAACUCCCACAAGACCGAACGUAGUUGUAAUUAUCCACAGAAAAAGUUAAGUAAUUUAAGAAAAUUGCGAUUCGAUUAGUACAAAUCGAACGUUUAAUGUUUGAUAAAAAAAUCAGUUGUCUGUGCUGUCCUCAUCGCUCGCUGUUGAUUGACGUUUACUUGAACGUAGCAGCACAACGUCCAAUCUUCCUCGGCUGUAUGGGAUUCCCAUCUGUCUUCUCCUGGGGAUCCUCAGAUUUGUCGGUCUCCAAAGCCCCGAAGUAAUUCUGAAUGUGCAAUUUUGACAUUGCAGCAUCCAAGCUGGACAUCGUGGACGUCGAGGAGUCCA